rnacentral:tRNA from 1 species
GUAAAUGAAAACAUAUGAAAUAAAAAAUUGCCUGACUCAUAAUCAGGUGGUCCCUGGUUCGAGCCCAGGUGGGACCA